AUUGAACGCUGGCGGCAUGCUUUACACAUGCAAGCCGAACGGUAACAGGCCGCAAGGUGCUGACGAGUGGCGAACGGGUGAGUGAUGCAUCGGAACGUGCCCAGUCGUGGGGGAUAACGCAGCGAAAGCUGCGCUAAUACCGCAUACGAUCUCUGGAUGAAAGCGGGGGACCGAAAGGCCUCGCGCGAUUGGAGCGGCCGAUGUCAGAUUAGGUAGUUGGUGGGGUAAAGGCCCACCAAGCCAACGAUCUGUAGCUGGUCUGAGAGGACGACCAGCCACACUGGGACUGAGACACGGCCCAGACUCCUACGGGAGGCAGCAGUGGGGAAUUUUGGACAAUGGGCGCAAGCCUGAUCCAGCAAUGCCGCGUGCAGGAAGAAGGCCUUCGGGUUGUAAACUGCUUUUGUACGGAACGAAACGGUUCGGGUUAAUACCCUGGGCUAAUGACGGUACCGUAAGAAUAAGCACCGGCUAACUACGUGCCAGCCGCCGCAGUAAUAC
rnacentral:rRNA from 1 species